rnacentral:rRNA from 2 species
GACAGAGGGUGCAAACGUUGCUCGGAAUUACUGGGCGUAAAGCGCGUGUAGGCGGGCCGAUAAGUCAGACGUGAAAUCCCUGAGCUCAACUCAGGAACUGCAUCUGAAACUGCCGGUCUAGAGUGGUGGAGAGGGAAGCGGAAUUCCUGGUGUAGAGGUGAAAUUCGUAGAUAUCAGGAGGAACACCGGUGGCGAAGGCGACUUCCUGGACACCAACUGACGCUGAGACGCGAAAGCGUGGGGAGCAAACAGG